GAAAAGAGGUUUGGAGGGAUUUUUCCAAAGCCUCAUAGGAAGAUGUGGCAGUGGAAAACUUAGACAUUCACCUCCAACCCGCAGCCACCUCCUGAAGCACCUGCCUGUCCCAGGGGCAACUGCUUCAACUUAUCACCUGUGACAUUACAGCAUGGGAAGGUGACAUAAAAUGGCAGUGACAUGCUGUGGCACUCGUCCUAUGUGAGAGAUUUUCAGCCUGUGGCAUUUCGUUUUUCUGAAGCGGGGCAUGUUAGAAGUGCUUGGGCAAAAAGUCUGGCCUCUCAUCCGUCAGCCCGAAGUUAUCGUGCAGCUUUGUGCAGCGAGACCAGCAGGGCUCCAGGGGAUGCCUGUCAGACCCCAGCUUGUUCAGGCAUCCUGCAUUUCUGCAAGACUGAAGUGAAGGGCUGAGACUGUCCUGCUCUGAGCACUUCCAUUCUGCUGCAGGCUACUUAUCCUCACAGAAUUCAGAGGAACAAAGAAAAAUCCUACUUUGGUGAAUG